UACGGGGGGGGCAAGCGUUGUUCGGAAUUACUGGGCGUAAAGGGUUCAUAGGUGGCCAAUUAAGUCAGACGUGAAAUCCCUCAGCUCAACUGGGGAACUGCGUCUGAGACUGGAUGGCUUGAGUGCAGGAGAGGAACGCGGAAUUCCAGGUGUAGCGGUGAAAUGCGUAGAUAUCUGGAGGAACACCGGUGGCGAAGGCGGCGUUCUGGACUGCAACUGACACUGAGGAACGAAAGCCAGGGGAGCAAACGGG
rnacentral:rRNA from 1 species